UAUUACACGAAUAUCAUAAGAGUACUAAUUUCUUGAAACUUAUUUUCAAUUUAAGAAAUCAAAGAGAUAAUUAAUUAAGGAAUACACAUCAAUUUUACAUAAAACUAUCUCAUUGCAUGUGAGAGAUGCCUAUUUAUUACUUGAGGUGAAAAUAACACCGAUUUAUUCUCAACUGCUUCGCCCACUGCAUCAGUAAAGUUUUGCAUAAUUUGUUACACCUGCAACAAAACCUCAUCUUUAACACAAGUUGGGUAAAAUAUUAAUAUUUCAGAUGAAUCCUAAUCAGAAAAUUAUAUUGACUAAUAGACAUAUGUAAAAAAUAAAGUGGAGAUAAUAAAGUUUUUUUUCCUGAGAUAGUAUCAUCUAAACAAUUGCAAGAAAAGAUGGAAACCAAAAGCACUUCUCAGAAUAUACUCACUUUUCUCACAAUAGCUAUAUAUCAAAAUGUUCUUUAAAUUGGAAAAUAUGCUCUCCCAAUUCCGCAGAUCUAUCACAAAAAGAGAAAAGGUGAUAUAAACUGCAAUGCUAUUGCAAAAGAAAUUUAAUCACUCCAAUGUUUAAGAAAAACCUUAGAACUUAAUAAAAUAUAACAUAAUUAUAGUUUCUAGUUUAUUUAGAAGCACCAAAAAAAAUAAAAAUAGAAAUCCGUACCUUUUCCACAAAACUUACCGAAAUGCUUGAUAUGUGGACUAACCUCCAUUUUCUGAAUUUGCUUUUGUAGGGUGACAAUGAGUGCCUAAACACAUUGGCCAUUUAAACACAAUAUAUGAGAUGUUAAUGUAUCUAAUUAAUGAGCAAUUAUGGGGAAGGGAAAAAUGUUAUAAGGUUUAAUGAGCAAUUAUGGGGAAGGUAAAAAGUUUGAAACGCUAUAAGGUUUAAGAAAGGUGACAUUUUGAGUUUUUAAAUGGAAUGGUUUAAAGAGUAUAAUAAAGACUCAAGCUAUUAUUGAGCUAAUUUAACAUAAAAAUAAGAGAAAAAAACAAAAAAAGGAGAAAAUAAAUAAAUAGAAUCCUUGGAAAAAGAGAGGUGCCAAGUCAUCAUAUCUAUUUCCUCUUUUAUAUAUAUACCAGUCAAUUUGCCUGCGCUUCGCGCGGUCUUAUACAUAAAAUAUGAAUGAAAAGUUAUUGUUACAUUUUUCAUAAUUUUAUUUUCUCUAUUCUUCAACCAUAACAUUAUCAAUUGUGAUGUAGUUGCAUUUCUAAGAUUGGUUACUUCUUUCUAAAAUCAUCCAGACUCGCUUUCUUUAUUUUUAUACACAUGAAAGCAUACACCUUACUUCAUUGCAAGAAUUUUAUUGGGCUAAUUUGAAGGUUUAAAUUAAGGGAUUAAAUCUUCUUUUAUCGAUGAAAAUAAAAUUGGAUAAAUAGUUAAUGUAAUAUGCUUGAAUGAAUAUAAAUUAUUGACAUUGGUACCUUGUUGUAUUAUUUGCCAUGUAUUGAUGAUAUCCAAAACAUCAUGCCACAAAAUAAUACCAUCACUAUUAAACAAAAAAAAAGAUCUAUAUAUACUAAAACUUAAAAUUCAACAAAACAAAUAGUUCUUUUAAAUAUUGUUAAAAGUUCAACACAAGGUUUAGUUUUCUAUUUCUGUAAUAUCUAUGCAUUAUCAUUCCUUCUCUAAAUCGUACUUGGAGUAUUUUGAAUUUCCAAAAUAACAUAUUAAGGAAAAAGAAAGAAAUGUAACCUUUAAAACACUCGAUGAAUGUUGAGAAAAUGUCACUUUGUGAUAGUUAAUCAAAGUUCACCUCAACGGUUAAUUUUCUUUUGUAUCUCUAUGUAUUUUUGUGAUAUUAUAUUACUAUAAGAAUAUAAAAUGUAUGUCCAAUACCAAACAAUCAAGACAAAAACACAAAUAAAUAAAUUAUUUCCCAAAAAUGAAAGACAAAAGAGAAGAAGAUGAAAGAGGAGGAAGAGAAUUCAUUAAUUCCCACUCCGCUCUAUUUAGACCCAUUUCACUUUUUAAUCAGGCCUAUUCAUUCUACAACCACAAAUGAUAGUAAUAUUCCAUGGAACGAAUAAAAGUAAAACUAUCAAUCACAACAUCGUGUAAAAACGACAUAGAAUAUGUCUGAUGAUAUAUUUCCAAUAUUAUGCAGGAGAAAUAAUAAAAUGUACAACACAUUUUCAGUUACAAACAAAGGUAUUUCUCCCACUUGACACACCAGGAGGACCAUUGACACAAUCCUACAUGCCAAAUCCAUUUAAAUUGUAGAUUGAAAAUAAAAAUUUAACUGCGUAAUACCUUUGUGUAUCCAAAUGGCAUACAUAUAUGUAAUUUGUAUAAAAAAAAAGAUCUCAUACAUAUACACUAACACAGAGACUGUGAACACAACUUUAUGAGAAAAAAGCGAGAGAAUAUAAUGGAUGGAUUGCUUUUCCCUCUAAAAUAGUUCCUGCAACAUCCUUAAAUCCUCAGAUCAUACAUACAUAUAAGUUCCAAUAAUUUGUCACAAAAUAAAGAAUAUAAUUAGUUAGUUAACACAAAACAUUGAAAGUUUUUUUUAAAGAAAGCGCACCUCCUUCCACGAUAUGUCCAAGUAUUGCUCUCAAAAGAAAUAUUGCCAAGGUGAAACAAAUUUAAGCUUUGAAGGGUAAAAGAAGUAGCAAAAACAGUCUAAUAGUGAAGUAAAAAUUACCUAGAAUCGGUUAAGAGGAUGCAUAAAAUAGUGCACGAAAAGAGUCAGUAUCCGUUAAAUAUGAUUACUUUAGAUUAUAGAAUAAAAAAUUAACAGCGCACGAAAUAAUAUAUAAACAUGUUAAUUUAUAUUUUAAUGCACAAAACUAUUUUUUGCAUAAGCGGACACCUGAAUAUACUCCUCAAAGAAAUGCCACAAAAGGAUGAGGCCUCCAACCAUUUGACUGACAAAACUUAUGCUAUGAUUUCUGAAAUUCCCAACUGGUAUAUGUAAUUAUCUUUGUUAGAGUAUAAAAAUAUACUUACUGAGCAAAAACUAUCUUUUCAACCAAUUUCAAACAAAAUGUACCUUCUGCAUACUAUAAAUUUAUUCCUAAGAUGAAAAAAACCUUGUUAAUGCUCACCUUAGCUACACGAAUGUUCAAAUGUUGCAUUAAACAAAGGUUUCCUUCAAGAAAAAGUUUCUAAGCACGACUAAUUGUUGUGAUAGCUAACUUGUGCUAAUGCUUGAGCAAGCAUUGUGCAAGGUUUAUUGUUAUCAAUUAAGUUACUGGUACCUUCAAAAUAGACAAAAUAAAGUACAAUUGUUUUAUCCUUAUUUGUAUUCUUUCUAGAUAUUAUAUCCUUCUUCAGCGUGUUAGUUUAUUUGCAUAAGUUAUAAUAGUUAGCUUUAGACAGUUAUCAAGUAACAUAACAUUUCAUGGUGAAAUAACUCAAUAUUAUGGCACGUAGAGUAAAGCUCAAAAGUACACCUCAAAUAUAAAGUUCUACCACGAUGCUGCUUGUUUGGCUGAAGCAAGUAACAGAGUUGUAUCUAUUAAACAUUUACCUGUAAUAGAUCCAAUUUUUGUGUCUAUACCUUUUUAACCCACUUAUAUUGAACAACAUAAUCUCCACUUGUUGCGUGUCACCAUCACUUGUUUAGUUCCACAUUUCUAUUAAAAAAAAUAUACAACAUGAGAUGCCCAAGACAAUCACUUAAGUAAAAGGAGGAAUGAAUUCCUAUAAGGCAAAAAAGUCCAAUAUUUCAAUAUUAUAUUUGAAUGUUCCUAAAAAAAUACAAUUCUAACAUCGAAAGGAAAAUUGACCCUUAAGUAAAAGAUACUAUUAUAAUACUUCAUGACAGUAUCAUGGAGUUUAACAGAAAUUACCUUUUAAUGUUAAUGUUUCUGUUCCACAUUGACCAUUUCAGAGUCUCUUUCAAGGUUAGAGCAUCUCUAUUCCCAUCUAAUAAAUAUAGUUAAAAAUUAAUGUUAUAAGUUAAUAAAAAAAAUUAAUCUUUACUAAUUAAACAUCUUUUCAUGAUUCUACCAUCUUUUAAUGAUUUUUAACAUCCUACAUAAACUGUAACCUUAUCCUGUGAAGACCCAAAAGGUCAUCACUUGCGUUGCAAGUGUAUUCAGUGUUCCGAGGCCUAAAAACCUCUCUUUUUACCCCACCUUGAUUUACGUGCGUGGUCCGGACCUAUAUUCGGAAAGCUUUCUAUGUGAAAAUAUGAGAAAUAGAAAUUUUAGAGUUAAAACUUUGAUUAUGGUUGACUUUGGUCAACAUUCUUAGCAAACGGACCCGGAUCCGUGUUCCGGCGAUCCCGGGAGGUCCGCAGUAAAAUAUGGGACUUGGGCGUAUGCCCGGAAAUGAAUUCCGAGGUCCCAAGCCUUAGAAAUCAAUUUUUGAAAGAAAUUGUUUUACUGAAUUAUCUAAGGAAUAAAGAAAAGAAUUAAUGUUUGAAACCAUUGUUAUCGGGCCCGUAUUGUUCCGGAACCCGGUACAAACUUGUUAUAGUAUUUGAAAGAUAACUGUGAAAUUUGGUGAAAAACANN
rnacentral:lncRNA from 1 species